UUGUCUGUAUGAUGCUCCAAGGUAUUAUCAUACUUUCGAGUAGCAAUAUCCCAAAUUUUAACUUGUCGGUCAGCAUUAGCACUGGCAAUGAUAUUCCUGCAUUUAUUUCUUUUCCUGAACUGUUCGUUCCGCACAAGGCAAGUAUGGAGUCAGUGUGACUGCCUUCUUUGUAUUUGGUUGAUGUCUAUUGUCUAACACAAAAAGUUGCAGUCAUUGCUACUGCAAUAGAUGGAAUGAAAGUCCAAGGAUGCUACAGCAGAACUGCAUAUAAAGAAGCGUGUUAUUGUUUUACAAUAUCUUAUAAAAGUAUUUUGUGACAUUUAACCUAAAUAAUCCAAAUCAAAAGAUAAAAUUGUAACAGAAUGUAGUAGCAGGUUUUAUUUCAUGUCUUCUUCUUCUUCUCAGAAAUGCCACCUAAAACUACAGAUGGCUGCACUUCAUCAAUCUGAGAAAGGGAAGUUGUGAGACUCUGUAACAACAUAUCCAUUAAAGACUUAAUAAACUUAUAAUUUUCUGAGAUUCAAAUACAUGAUCGACAUAUACAUUGUUGAGGUCCCAUAUUUCAAUUGAAGGGUCCAUUGAACCCACAGCUAUAAAAUUUCCUUUUUCUUCCUCCUUAAGUGGACAAUCAAGCCACGCUGUACAAAGGGGAAAUGCUGACAGGACAAUAUCAUGGUGAACAUACAUGUUUGAAUCACCAUCAUCUGAUUCCUCAAGUAUCCAAACCUCAAGGUGACUGAAUUCAUCCUCAUUACGUGCACAAACUAUUACUGCAUCCUUUGGUUUAAUGGUCAUGUCCUCAAGCUCUUCAGAAUCAUCAUCAUCCUUAUCCUUUAGAUAGGGGUCCAUAUCAUUGCUUGGGUAGUAAAGAUCCCCAAGUCCUGUGCUGAAUAGCUCAACGCCUUCAUCCUCAUCAUCAUAACGUUCCAUGUCAAGUUCCUUGAGGCCAUCAGCUAUAUCAUCAAAUUUGGUGGCUGAAUUGUUAUUUUUGGGUGUUCUACCAAGAGCUUCUGCUACAGCUAAUGCAUGGGUUGCUUCAUCAGUCUGCUUGGCAGUAUCAACAUCCAUAUCUUCGUCAUCUGCCUCACUACCACUAUCUUCACGUCUCUCUAAAGCACCGGCCUUUAUAAUCUGUUCAAUUUCCUCCUUGGACGGCGGGUCCGCCACUGCUGGUACAGACUUGGAAACACCUUUGGGCACCCAUGAAACUGCGGCUAUCAUCCUUACUAAAACUAAAUCGAAUUGUGAGGUGAGGAGAUUUAUUGUGGUUUUUUGAACUAAAGAGAUUUAGGGAACGAAACAGGGCAGCUACCUCCAAUCUAAGAUGUCUUAUGCUAAAACCCUAAACCUAGGAUGGACACGCGCUCAUUCCUUUUUUU
rnacentral:misc_RNA from 1 species